GCCCUCGUAGUUUAAUGGAUAGAACGCAGGAUUCCGGUUCCUGUAGUGGGGGUUCGAUUCCCUCCGAGGGCGCUA
rnacentral:tRNA from 1 species